AGCAACUUGGAUGAUCGGCUCCCAGGCUGACGAGAGGGCCACGGAGGGCAGAAACCUGAAAAACUACGCGACGCCAUUCUGAACGAGGUGACGGUAGUUGAGUGCGUGAAAGGCUGUCGGGUGUUCAGGGCAAGACACUGCUGGGAAUCUUAGCAACCAUCAAGACUCACCACCCACAAGCACCAGCAUUAUCUCCAAUACCAAGAUACAUCCAUGUGUGAAAGGUUGUCAUCACAGGAGGAGGAAUCAUCAACAGAAGAGGUGCCGCCCACAGAACCCUGGAGGCGGAUCAACUGUGUCCCAUCUGUCCUUACUUCCUGCCCACGUCCGUCGAGGUCACCACACCUGUGGGCAUCCCGGCCAACCUCACCUGCGGCGUCAUGCAGCUCGGGGACAAGAAGGUGAGAGGGAGGAGAGGAAGGGAGGUCAGACUUAACCUCGUCCUUAAGGACUUGGGUGAGGAAGGAGAUGAGGAGGGAAAGAGGAGAUGAAUGUGAGAAGUGAGGAGAGAAAAGGAGGUCUGAGUUCACCUAUUCCUUUCUGUUCGUUGGUGAAAGAGAGGAAAAGGAGA